GAUAAUGACCAAACCUGUUACCUCCAUUGAAACCGCCGCCUUCCCAAUUUGACGCCUCCCCUGCUCCAGCUCUCUCCACAAAAUUUUCGACCCGGAUUCCACCGCCUCCGCUGCCGCUGUUGUCGCCGCCACCACCAGAGUUGAUUUCGGUGUUGUUCAGUUUGUUCCCGUCACCGAUUGCUCCUCCUUCUCCGGUGUGAUUUCGGCGUUCUGCCGUUGCCCCAUUUCUGCGAUGUUGGCGGCGCCAAAUUUCGCCUAAGCUCGUGCCCUCUGCCUCUCAUCCCACCAUUCCGGAUAUCCCACUCGUAGAAAGCAAUUCUCCCUUGUGUGUUUAUUUUUCCCACAGUGGGAGCACCACAGCUUGCUCUUAUCAGGUUUUACUCCGGUUUGGUGUGUGGCUCCUCCGGCAGGUGGCGGUCGCGGUCCAUUCUGGUUAAUCGGUCGGUCUCUUUGCGCUCCAAAUCAGUAACCUAUCUCCCCCGACGAUGCAUCGGCACUUCCUACACCAGAGACGUCUCCGAUGAGUGAAGAGGACGCCAGUGGCAUGAUUUUCCGUCGAGCCGCCUCCCUCAUCACAUAUCCGUAGGCUUCUUCGACUGAGGGGUAUGGCUCUAGUUUGAGGAUGUCAGCCGGAUCCCAGCGAACUCCUCAUUCAAUCCGGUGAGGAAUUUGAUCAACGUUUCUCACUCGAGUGUUACUGGAACUGCUUGACCCCUUUAUCACAGCACGUCACCGGCGAUUUUUGGAUUCUGUCGACACGCACCCGCAAACCGUGGAUUCGACGGUAAUAAGUCUCGAGAUCCAUAUUCCCUUGUCUUAUUGAGAUUACCUUGUCUUCCAGGUCAUAUAUGAGGUAUGGAUCCGCCUUGCUCUCGAAGGUGAUUUGUAAGUUGUCCCAUAGCGCUUUGGACGUCUGGUGAUGGGCAAAAUCGGCGAGAAUUUCAAUUUCGAUAUUGUCGACGAUCCAUGAGAAAACCACGAGAUCGGCCUCCUCCCACUCGCGGUAUCCCUUGCUAUCUAGUUCGGGUGGUUCGUAGGUGAUAUGGGAGUAUCCCCUUCUACUCCCUAUCGCGACCUUUAUUAGUCGUGACCACAACGGGUAGUUCUUCCCGUUUAAUUUGAACACCACGGAAAGGGACUGGUUUUUGUGUUUGGUUUUGGUUUCUUGGCCGAGAAUUGGAUAUGAAAUAGGCUGUGAUGAAAGUUUUCUUAGCCAUAAUUUCUCCUGCUCUGACACCAUGAAGAAACGAAUUGGGGGAUAAUUUCUGUAAUCUUAUGGCUUGAUUUAUAAUUACAGUGGCUACAGCCUUUUAUAUGCAAAGGAUUCAA